rnacentral:rRNA from 1 species
UACGUAGGGUGCGAGCGUUGUCCGGAAUUAUUGGGCGUAAAGAGCUUGUAGGCGGUCUGUCGCGUCUGCUGUGAAAUCCGGGGCUCAACCCCGGACUGCAGUGGGUACGGGCAGACUAGAGUGUGGUAGGGGAGACUGGAAUUCCUGGUGUAGCGGUGAAAUGCGCAGAUAUCAGGAGGAACACCGGCGGCGAAGGCGGGUCUCUGGGCCAUAACUGACGCUGGAGGAGCGAAAGCGUGGGGAGCGAACAGG